rnacentral:rRNA from 1 species
CCUACGGGUGACUGCAGUGCGGAAUAUUGGUCAAUGGCCGAAAGUCUGAACCAGCCACGCCGCGUGAAGGACGAAGGUGCCAAGCAUUGUAAACUUCUUUUGUCAGGGGGCAAAAUCAGGCUCGCGAGCCUGACCGAGGGUACUUGAAGAACAAGCAUCGCCUAACUCCGUGCCCCCAGCCGCGGUAAUACGGAGGAUACGAGCGUUAUCCGGAUUUAUGGGGUUUAAAGGGUGCGUAGGCGGACUGUUAAGUCAGCGGGAAAAGCCCGGGGCUCACCCCCGGCGAGCCGUUGAAACUGGUCGUCUUGAGAGGUCGAGAGGUAGGCGGAAUGCGCAGUGUAGCGGUGAAAUGCUUAGAUAUCGUGCAGAACUCCGAUUGCGAAGGCAGCAUACCGGCGGCGAUCUGACGCUGAGGCACGAAAGCGUGGGUAUCGAACAGGAUUAGAUACCCUUGUAGUC